rnacentral:lncRNA from 1 species
UGCUACUACUUCCAUGAGGCCACCAGCCCCUUCUUAAUAAGUCACCACCAAUAUUGCCAGUUCCCCAAGGCAAAACUUUACCACUACUACAUCUUAGCUCAGGCAGGGAAUAUAAACCUACAUCUCCCAGAGUGAUAUUUCUGGUCUAAUCUUAUUCACAGCUGUGAAAAGUUUAUGAGAACUCAAUAAGUUCCAGUGACAUUCAUUAGUUUCAUCACCUCAUAAUAGCUGUCAUUUAUUCUUUGGUGUACCAGGGAUCCCCAAGACCACUCUCAGGAUAGAUGAUUUGUUAGAAGUAAUCAAUUGAAUACAACUAUUAAAUAGAGCAGGUAUCAACUGGGUAAUUGCAUAAACUGGAUAAUUAUAUAUCAGCAGCUUAAUGACUGAUUGCAUUAUUUCUGGUACAGUGAUAAAAAGAGAUAAUGAAACAUCAAGAAUAGCUGUGGCCUUACUGACAGAUGUUACUCUGUGUUUAUCUAUCACUUUGAAUUCCAACUGUUAGGUCUUACCGGUAGAAAUGUGGAGAAAACAAACUUUGUAAGGUGCAGCCAAGAACAAAUUGAAACGAUGGUGACCAAAAGGUCACCAUCAAAAGAUACUCUAAGAAUGGUAUCAAGUUUUAAAUUUCAGAGAGAGAAUCACAGUCUUCAGAGUCAGUUGUAAAAUGAACUAGACCUGAAAUGUAUUUAACUGCCUUACAUUCCUUAAUAACUCUAUGAAAUAGGUGACAACUUCUUCCAAUUUUCCAGAUGACCAAAAUAAAAUAUAAAACAGUAACCUGACACGCUGCUUAACAUAUAAAAAUGUUGGUGUUGACAGCAUACUACUUUAUGGACCAAUAAACUAACCACAUGUUUUGUAAGUAAUAACUAACUUUGUAAUUACACUACAUCACUUCUCCCUUUAAAAAAUAUUUUAGUCACAAGCUAAUGAAUUUUGUUUUCCAUGUUAUAAUUAGUAGUGCAUUAGCAAAUAUAUUGUGUGAAGAAUUUAUUAACUGUCUAGGUUUAUUUUUCUAGUUGUUCCCUAACCACCACCACCUCCAUUCUGGAUAUUAGCAUGAGUGCUCUAAAUGAACUUUUCAUUUCCUGGAAGAGAAAUAUAUGUUUCAGCGGACAUUUAAUCAACUGGUGGUUUGUGGAAAGGAGGAUUUUGACCUUGUAACAUAGUCUUCCUGUUAGUUAUUUCCUGAGAUCAUUAUGCAACAAAAAGGGUGUAGGAAACAGUUACAAAGUUGAACUCUAAAAUUCUGCAUUCUCGGAAAAGAUAUUUGAAAACAUGAAAUUAAAACAUUGAGAUAAGCCAGGUGCAGUGGCUCACGCCUGUAAUCCUAGCACUUUGGGAGGCCGAGACAGUUGGAUCACCCAAGGUCAAGAGUUCGAGACCAGUCUGGCCAACAUGGUGAAACCUUGUCUCUACUAAAAAUACAAAAAUUAGCCUGGUGUGAUGGCGGGCACCUGUAAUCCUAGCUACUCAGGAGGCUAAGGCUGGAGGAUCACUUGAACCCAGGAGUUGGAGGUUGCAGUGAGCCAAAAUUGCGCCGUUGCACUCCAGCCUGGGCAACAGAGCAAAAACUCUGUCAAAAAAAAAAAAAAAAGCCAUUGAGACAAUGAUCUUGCAUUAUGGCAGUGAUGAUUUCUUGUGGCUGUCAACCUGAAAGCUGUAUUAUUCCUGGGAAGAACUGGGAAAGUAUGUUAUACCCUUCCUAAUAGCAGUCUAGAACAAAAAUAUAAUAAUUCACUUUCUAGGGUUGUCACCAUGAAUAUUUUGGUUGUAUAUAAUGAUGUUUUCUCUCUCUCUCUUAUGUAUAUAUAUAUAAAAAUACAUGUUAUGAAUAUAUAAUAUACAAUAUAUAAAUACAUAAUAUAUACUGAGAGAU